rnacentral:rRNA from 1 species
UACGUAGGGUGCGAGCGUUGUCCGGAAUUAUUGGGCGUAAAGAGCUUGUAGGCGGUUUGUCGCGUCUGCUGUGAAAACCCGGAGCUCAACUCCGGGCCUGCAGUCGAUACGGGCAGACUGGAGUUCGGCAGGGGAGACUGGAAUUCCUGGUGUAGCGGUGAAAUGCGCAGAUAUCAGGAGGAACACCGGUGGCGAAGGCGGGUCUCUGGGCCGAUACUGACGCUGAGGAGCGAAAGCGUGGGGGAGCGAACAGG